CAGACUUCUACGGCAAUCAGUCUCCAUUCGAGCUUCUACGCUAAGCAAUCUCCAUCCGGACUUCUACGGCAAUCGGUCUCCAUCUGAACUUCUAUGCUAAGCGGUCUCCAUCCGAACUUUCACGACAACCGAUCUCCAUCCGAGCUUCUACAGUAAGCGGCCUUCUUCCGGACUCCUAUAAGAACCGAACUCCAUCUGAACAUCU
rnacentral:lncRNA from 1 species